rnacentral:pre_miRNA from 8 species
AGUUCUGAGGAAAUAAUGCCAAUCCCGAAAACUGUUUUUUCUUGGUGCUUAGAGUCCUUCUUUUUUGUCGUCUAGCACCAUGAAAAAGCAGUCUUUGUGGUUGGUAUGUACAUGUAAAAGCUAA